GUCACUGUCCCUGACUCUCUGUCUCGGUGUCUCUGCCUCGGUCUGUCCCUCUUGUCUCUCGCCUGGCUCUCUCUGUCGCCGUACGGGUCUCUUUCCUUUCUGGCAGCUUCGCGUCUGUGUGGUGGGGUGCCCACCGGACCCUGUCGAGCCGAUUGGACCCGUUUCCCUGGUGAGGCCCCUAGACGAUUCCUUCAGUGGGGGAGAUGGCCAAGGAAGCAGUGUGGGUAAGAGUCCGGCCUGUGCCUUUGGGUUGGGCGAGUUGGGCGCUGUGUGGGUGUCGGGAGGGUCUUCUGGGAAGGAGCCGGCGUUGAGGUUGUGAAGGGUCCAGAGGGUGUGGACGUCUUGGCGGCCCUUUGGUGAAUGGGUCGACCCAGAGGGUGGCCCUCAGGGAAGACGGAGGGGGGCAGUAUUGGAUCGAUGAUGACUACUGGUGGCGUAUGAGUCGUGUACGAUGAAUACGUGUCUGGAACGCUGAGGUCCAAUGUCCUCCGUGCCGUGACCCUCGCGGGCGAGGCCAGGCAUCCAGGGGGGCCGUCCAUGUGUCCUCUGGGGGGCCUUCCUGGUGCUUGCGUUCGCCCAGUGGGCCAGUGGGAGCCCCUGUGGACCAGCCUGCCAGAACUGAAGGAGGAGAGCGAGGGAGGGCCGGCAUUCCCAAGGCGCCAGGUCCCUGGUGACCCCACCCCCCAUGGUCUGCCUCUUGCCAUGCCAUGGGCUGCAGGUUGGCCAGAGGUCUUGGGCUGAUGUCCCCGAGGCUGAGGCCGUGGGGCAAGGGUGAGGUAGGCAGGGUCAGGGAGGGCCCACCUCUGUCCCGGGGCUGGGCGGCCAGCUGGUGGUUGGUGGGUGUCCCGAGACAGGGCUGUGCCCUGUCAGCAGGGUUGCCCCGAUGGAGGCGUGCAUGUGGAAGCCGCGAGCCUGGAGAAUGGCUGUGCCAUUGGGUCUCCUGCUCUUGGCUUUGUACUCUUCAGCAGGCAGCCGCGAGGCCCGAAGUCCGGCUCCUUCCUGGAUGAGCAGGCGAGGAUGGCAGCGUUGUCUUUGGAGCCAGGGGACCAGUGUGAGCAGCAUCCCAGGGCUUGUCGGGGCUGGGCUGGGCAGGGCAGUGCGAGGGGCUGGUGGAGGGUGGGCGGCAGAUGCGGGCGAGGCCAGCAGUCCAGAAGGGCUCUGGCGUCCCAGGGAUGGGACAGCUCUGGCUAGGAAGGUCUCUUGGACGUCCUGCACAGGGGCCCAGCUGGUCCUCCGCGGCCCAGAGAGACCGAAAGCCAGGGGACGGGUCCUAGAGGCUCCCCGAGGGAUGGCGAGGCCUCGUUGGGUGGGGCGGGCCCCUUGGGUUGCCCAGUGGCCGUGCGGGGAGGAAUGCCUGACUCCACGGGCCAUGGCGACGGAAGAGAAGGUGCCCCUUUUCUGGAUCGAUGAUGAUCAAUGCCAGCGUAUGAGGCAUAGAUGACGAAUAAUGUGUGUCUGGAACUCUGAGGUCCACUCGCAAGGAAACGGGGCCUUUCUCUUCCUGCCUUUCCAUCCUCGAGCCCAGCGGGGCAGCGCCGACCGCCCGAGGAGUCCAGUCGAUGGCGUCUCACUGUGGGUGUCACCUUGUCUCUUGGGUCCCUUAUAGGGUGGAAGCCGAAGGCCGGGCCAGGCUCCGUGGAGCCGAGACCCCUCCUCUGGCGGUGGUGGCAGGAGAGAUCCCAAGUUUUGUCCUUGGGCCAGGUGUUUGGAUUUCAUUGCCUUAGUCCUAAAUGGAGUCCCAACAUGAAGGACAUCCCUGCGACUGGAGAGCCCUGCCCCUCCGGGCUCACUAGUGGAGGCCCGAGAACAUGGAUAUUCAUGAGGGUCCCUCCGUGUGGAGUGUGUACCCCUCAGAGCAAUUGCACUGGAGAUGCUUUAGCAUCUUCCGUACGGACCCGAGCUCUGGGAUUGCCUCUGAACAUACGUGUUAGGACAUGGGAGAGUCACGUGAGUAACCGUUGAGAUUCCUUCCUCAGUUCAUUUGGAUUUAAACAAUCAAGCAAUAGAAAGCCAUGUAGAGAAACAGGAGCACUGUUGUAUCAAUGAUGACUUCCCGUGGCGUUAUGAGUGCUAUGUGAUGAGUACCUGCCUGGAACUCUGAGGUCCAGUGUGGAUGGAGUCUGUUCCAUCGUCCUGUUUGAAGUGGUCCUACAGGCAGAGGUUAGGAAUGAAAAAGGAUGUUCGUAUUGGUGAUCCUGACCGUGCAUUUUUAUCCUAUUUGCAUAGUAGAUCAACGAAAGAGUCAGUAGACAGGUGUGUAACUUUAAAAAUAUGAUGAAGGUGAUGCCUUUUCUCAUUAUAAAAACGUGUCUCUAGGCAGAAAUUAUUAUCUUAUACUAAGAUAUUAAUACAUAUUGAAAAGACUGAUAAUCAUUGUGAGAAAAGCGGUAUUAAUAUGCUAUCUCUUUGGCUAAGGGUGAUGUAGAAAGUGACAGGUAAUUGUAAUUAACUAAGUCAGUUAACAGUUUGACAUUUGAUUAUUGAGGGCAAACGAAAUAAAUAUUGCGAUGAGGAUAUGACUCCACUACUGUGCAAAUGGAUAGUGGAAGAUUUGGAUCAAGGGAGAGACUAUCUCAAUAUUUUUAAAACCUUGUCUGCUUGUUGUUGUUCAGAGGACAUGCUCCCGCUCUUUCGGCUUCUGCUGAGCUCAAGAUUGUCAGGCCGCCUCCGCGCCAGCAAAGAAGCGAAGGUGACCGUGGGGCAGGUUGUUGUUGGGUCGGGUGGUCUGUUUGCGGGUACUCAGGGUACUAUUAGAAAGCGUGGAAUGAAUCUGAAAGGUACUCGUCAUUCCACGCGAGAGGGGCUGCGCCUCACUGUCUGCUGAGGGAUGAUGGGCAGGACUGAGGUGGGAGAGUGGGAGAGAGAGCCCCUCGGUGGGAAAGGACGCUACAGACUGAGCUUAGGGAUGUUGGCGGACCUUGUUCUGGGGGGACGUCGCGAACCCCGUAUUGUAUUGACGCUUCUCAAUGAAGUAAUGAUAGCAUCGAUACCAGUACGGAAAUGAACGAGGCGCAGAGACUCGGUCAUGGACCAGUGAUGAGGGUCGUGACGGGAGGAGUCCUGAACGAUGACAACAUCUGAAACUCUGAGGUCCAACCCAGCGCCCGAGUCGCCUCUUGCCUUGGGUGUCACUGUGCCUGUAGAGCGAUGUCAGGAAUACGGAGACAUCACCUCCUUGUGUUAUUUCACGGACUUAGAUUUGCUGCUCUGGCUAGAGCUGUGUUAGAGCCAUCAAGCCGGCAUAAAGUAACAUGUGAGGAAACACAGGGUGAUGCAGUGUCCAAGUAGGAACAUAUCUCGUGAGGGAAAGAGACUGUCCGUAAACCCUGAAAGCAGGGAUGCUCAUUAAGUAAAUGGGGCAGGGCCACCUCUCUGACCGAGGUUAGAUCGAAAAGCAGAAGUAAGGGUCGCUUUAACUGUUCUGCCUCAGACGAAUGGUUGAGUUUCUUAACAAGAAAAAUAUCUUGAGAAAGAAAAAAAAUAAAUUUCUACAUACUGAGUAAAUGAAAUUUAGAAAGCAGUGAUCACUGGUGAUUAGAUGUCAAUAUCUUAAUAUCUUUAUCAUCUCCUCUGUGCUUCUUGGAACGACGAGAGGGGCUUCAGCGUCUUCCAUGGGCACCAGCUCUGUGGUUGUCCCUGUGUAGUGGGAGGGUGGAGAAUAAUGAGGGUGCACCGGACCUGAAUGCAGCUUUCUUCCUUGAUGAGCAGGACAGGAGCUCAAAGGGAUGUUGGCCUCCGCUGGGAUGAAGGCUCUCCUCUUGGAGUUGUUCUAGGAGAGACCAAGGUGAGUCAGGGCCAAGUUCCUGUCUUGGUUUGGGUGGUUGGUUUAGGGUUUUGCUGCAUUGUUAAAGCAAUGAAUAUGAUCAAAAGGUUAAGGAUGGCCCAUUGAUAAAUAUGACAUGAAAUCUUACGUUAAAGAAGUGAUAAUAUGUAACAUUGUUGGUCAUUAAUGAAAGAUUUAUAAUCCACUUUGGUAAUAAUUGGAGGAGAAAUUGGGGAUAUUUUAGGGUAUUGUUCUUUUAUUUUGGUGAAUUAUAUUUUUAUUUUAUUAUUAUCAAUAAAGUAGUGAUUUAAUUGAUAUAAAUAUACACUUGAAUGAACUAAAAGUGGGCUCAAAUCUACCAGUGAUGAGGACUGGUAGAGGACGAGUCAUGGACAGUGCAUAAGGAGUGUCUGGAACCCCGAGGUCCAACAUAAUACAUAUUAUAUUUUCUAUGUUUAUUUGAUCCUAUGGACAGACGUUAGAAAUGCGUAAACUCAGGCCCGCUUUAUGGGUUAAUAGAUUUCAAUUUAACAUCGUUAAUGGUUCAAUAAUAGAACCAUUAUAUUUAAGUAAUAGACUUAAGAAGAAAGGGUAAAUUAUUAUCUACCUAUGUACGUAUAUGGUCAGGCAAGAAGUAGUAUUGAAAAUCGUGGAAUUCCCAUUGUGGCUUAGCAGGUGAAGACCUGACCUCGUAUCUUUCAGGAUACCAGUUUGGUCCUUGGCCUCACUCAGUGGCUUAAGGAUUCUGCAUUGUCACAAGCUGCAGUGUAGAUCACAAAUGUGGCUUGAAUUUGAUGCUGCUGUGGCUGUGGCUUAGGCCUCCGUCGUAGCACCGAUUUGAUACCUAGCCUGGGAACUUCCAUAUGCCAUGGGUAUGGCUAUAAUCUAAUCACUUGUGAUGGAAUAUGGUGGAGGAUAACGUGAGAAAAAGAAUGUGUAUGUUUAUAUACACUGUGCUGUACAGCAGAAAUUGACAGAACACUGUUUUUUGGGGGUUUUGUUGUUGUUGUUUUUUGUUUUUUGUUUGUUUUUUAGUGCUACCCCCACAGCAUCAUAGCAUAGGGAAGCUUCCAGGUUAGGGGUCGAAUCAGAAUUGCAGCUGUCGGCCUACGCCACAGCCACAGUAAUGUGGGAUCAAAGCUGCAUCUGUGGCCUACACUGCAAUGCCAGAUCCCUGACCCACUGAGUGAGGCCAAAUGUCGAACCUGCAGCCUCAUAG
rnacentral:lncRNA from 1 species